rnacentral:rRNA from 1 species
AUUUUUAAUUCUAGUGGCGGACGGGUGAGUAACACGUGAGAAUCUGCCCUUAGGAGAAGGAUAACAGCUGGAAACGGUUGCUAAUACUUCAUAUGCCGCAAGGUGAAAGAAUGUAUUCGCCUAAGGAGGAGCUCGCGUCUGAUUAGCUAGUUGGAGAGGUAAUGGCUCACCAAGGCGACGAUCAGUAGCUGGUUUGAGAGGGCGACCGGCCACACUGGGACUGAGACACGGCCCAGACUCC